rnacentral:rRNA from 1 species
AUACGUAGGUGGCAAGCGUUGUCCGGAUUUAUUGGGCGUAAAGCGAGCGCAGGCGGUUUCUUAAGUCUGAUGUGAAAGCCCCCGGCUCAACCGGGGAGGGUCAUUGGAAACUGGGAGACUUGAGUGCAGAAGAGGAGAGUGGAAUUCCAUGUGUAGCGGUGAAAUGCGUAGAUAUAUGGAGGAACACCAGUGGCGAAGGCGGCUCUCUGGUCUGUAACUGACGCUGAGGCUCGAAAGCGUGGGGAGCAAACAGGAUUAGAUACCCUGGUAGUCCACGCCGUAAACGAUGAGUGCUAAGUGUUGGAGGGUUUCCGCCCUUCAGUGCUGCAGCAAACGCAUUAAGCACUCCGCCUGGGGAGUACGACCGCAAGGUUGAAACUCAAAGGAAUUGACGGGG